rnacentral:rRNA from 1 species
AGAGUUUGAUCAUGGCUCAGAACGAACGCUGGCGGCAUGCCUAACACAUGCAAGUCGGACGCUUUUGGGGUUUCGGCCUCAAGGGAGUGGCGGACGGGUGAGUAGCGCGUGGGAACCUGCCCCUUUGUGGGGGAUAACCGAGGGAAACUUCGGCUAAUACCGCAUGCGCCCCGGAGCAAUCCGGGGGAAAGAUUUAUCGCAGAGGGAGGGGCCCGCGUCGGAUUAGGUAGUUGGUGGGGUAACGGCCUACCAAGCCUGUGAUCCGUAGCUGGUCUGAGAGGAUGAUCAGCCACACUGGGACUGAGACACGGCCCAGACUCCUACGGGAGGCAGCAGUGGGGAAUAUUGGACAAUGGGCGCAAGCCUGAUCCAGCAAUGCCGCGUGAGUGAUGAAGGCCUUAGGGUUGUAAAGCUCUUUCGGCGGGGACGAUGAUGACGGUACCCGCAGAAGAAGCCCCGGCUAACUUCGUGCCAGCAGCCGCGGUAAUACGAAGGGGGCGAGCGUUGUUCGGAUUUACUGGGCGUAAAGGGCGCGUAGGCGGCGGCCCAAGUCGAGUGUGAAAGCCCCGGGCUCAACCUGGGAGGUGCGCUCGAGACUGGUCUGCUAGAGUUCGGGAGAGGAGCGUGGAAUUCCCAGUGUAGAGGUGAAAUUCGUAGAUAUUGGGAAGAACACCGGUGGCGAAGGCGGCGCUCUGGACCGAGACUGACGCUGAGGCGCGAAAGCGUGGGGAGCAAACAGGAUUAGAUACCCUAGUAGUCC